rnacentral:ncRNA from 2 species
UUCUUAUCGAGAGAGGCGGAGGGAAAGGCCCGAUGAAGCCCAGCAACCGAUUCGCCCGUGAAAUGAUUUGCAGGAUGUAGCGCACUCGUCACGGCGGAAUGUCAUGGUGCUAAUUCCUUCAAAACCGAUGUGAUUUACUCGGUUUUGGCAGAUGAGAA